GUUCAGACUUUGCACUGAUUAAGCAGAUUAAGGGAAACAAUCAACACAUGCUAAAUGUUGUAUGCUUUCUCAAGAUCAAAUCAAAGAUGUAAGAGGUGCACGCACGCACGGCGAGCUCGCCACGUCGCCGUCUCGAUAUCCUCCGGGAUACGAGAGGACGAAAAGUGCGCAUACUUAGUACAGGAGGUAGACGCGGGCUGUACGCCGACCACUCGACUACUCCGCGAAUGGAAUGGAGGCGAGCUCCGCCACGACAACGGCCGUCGGUCGCGGACACGAAUGGAGCGCGGUGACCACGCGCAUCGCGGCGAGCUCGCCAAGAAGAGACGAAUUUUCGCAUGGACCGAGGAGAAAGGCGCGCGCGCAUGCAUGCGUCGGCUGAAAGCCGCUCGUUUCGUGCUGACUCGGCAGGCGCCUGCGCUGCAAGGUCACUGCCUCACGCCUGUCGCGUCGGAGAGCGGGAGAGGGAGAGGGGCCUGGCAUCCUCGCCGAGCUUUCGCCGAGCUCGUUGUCAGCACGUCGUGGCAGCGGAAGAGUUCACGUGCAUGCUCUAUUUGUAGCAUGUACGAGUAUGUGUGGAUUAGUCAUGUUUUAUAAGCAUUGACUCACAGCCCUCACGGGUUGGGGGAUCUGCCGUCGAUGCGGCACCCAGCCCCGCAUCACAGCCGAGAGCACAUCCUUCGCCGUCUCGCCGCCGAAGGGGAGCGCGCCGCCGGAGAGCAGCACAUACAUGACAACGCCCGCGCUCCACACGUCCGUCUUCUCGCCGUAGUCGCCGCCGGACACAACCUCGGGCGCGACGUAGUGGUGGUUGCCCACGAGGCCCUCGGCGCGGCCACCGUCGGCGCCGAUCCAUGCGACCGACCCGAAAUCCGCGUCUCAAUCUCUCUCCGGCGACGAGGCGGGGCUUGAGCCGCCGCAUCGCCCUCAGCCGCUCCAGCCGCCGCGUUGACCCGAUCCAGAUACUGCGCGGGUAGGUAAAUAAAGGUAUAGGUACCCAGAUACAAAUGCUUAUGAGGAAACCCAGCUGAAGUGGGAGUUGGACGAGGACAAUGGCCGGCUGUACGUGACGUGCCGCAACGACUAGAUGCAUUUGGUCGUGAUCAUGGGCCUAGAAAGGCGAGAUAGCAUUAGCUUUUGUCGUUUAUAUUGUCCGUAGAUGGACCCUCUUUUCUAUCUGAAUAAUGAAUGAUUGUGUGGAAUUGUAAUUUAGCUGCGGCGAGUGUAAGCCGAAUCUUAAUACUCUUGCAUCUA